GCGGUGAAAUGCGUAGAUAUCAGGAGGAACACCGGUGGCGAAGGCGGGUCUCUGGGCCGAUACUGACGCUGAGGAGCGAAAGCGUGGGGAGCGAACAGGAUUAGAUACCCUGGUAGUCCACGCUGUAAACGUUGGGCGCUAGGUGUGGGGGGCCUCUCCGGUUCUCUGUGCCGCAGCUAACGCAUUAAGCGCCCCGCCUGGGGAGUACGGCCGCAAGGCUAAAACUCAAAGGAAUUGACGG
rnacentral:rRNA from 1 species